rnacentral:misc_RNA from 1 species
GAAAAUGCUAAUACCUAAUUGUCCUUGGCAGGAUCUUAUGAAUCUAAAACAGAUUGGCCUCUGUUAUUCCAAGUAUUUGACUAAAAUUCCUGAUCUGUCACAAGCAAAAAAUGUUGAGAGCAUCAAUCUUGAAGGUUGUAAAAGCUUAGUAGAGCUGCCUUCAUCUAUUCAAUAUCUCCACAAGCUUGAAUACCUUAAUGUCAGACUUUGCAAGAGUCUUCGGCGCCUUCCGAGCAGGAUUGAUUCGAAACUUCUUCGAAUUCUUGAUAUUUC